rnacentral:rRNA from 1 species
CAUAUUACUAAGCGGAGGAAAAGAAACCAACGGGGAUUCCCAUAGUAACUGCGAGUGAAAGGGGAAGAGCCCAGCGCCGAAUCCUGCUGCUGGCAACGGUGGUAGGAACUGUGGCGUGAAGACAGUCCAUUCCAGUGCGGCUAGCUUGCGUAAGUUCUCCUGAGUGAGGCUCCAUCCCAUGGAGGGUGCAAGGCCCGUAUCGUAAGCAGUCGGUGCUGGUUUAAGCUGUCGGAGAGUCGCCUUGUUUGCGAGUACAAGGUGAAGUCGGUGGUAAACUCCAUCGAAGGCUAAAUAUGACCACGAGUCCGAUAGCGAACAAGUACCGUGAGGGAAAAUUGAAAAGCACUUUGAAGAGAGAGCGAAACAGUGCGUGAAACCGCUUAGAGGCAAGCAGAUGGGGCCUCGAAGGCAAAGCAGUGAAUUCAGCUGGUAGUCCGUAGCGCCCAUCUGUUUAUGGACCGCAAGGCCAUGGGAGGUUGUGAGGCUGCGGCUGCUAGUGCACUUUCACUGUUUGUACGCCACCGCCGUUGAGCGAGCGUCCGUCAGGUUGGCGUGUGAAGCCUUGCUCCCGCAAGGGAACAGGUGUCUUACUGCCGGCUAUCGACGCGUUCGCACCUCAACCGGUCAUGUCAGCGUGUGCCAGCGUAUUGCGUUGGGCUCGUUCACCCUGUGUUUGCGUCGGAGAUGACAAGCUUGCUUGGCUCACUGGCGUAGGCUAGGAAUGUGCGGGUUUGCAACGUAGGCACAUUGUCGAUUCGGUGGCGAGUAGACGGCUGCCCAUCUAACCCGUCUGAC